GUUGGUUUUAAUUAAUUUCAAAAUAUUUUUUCUAUUUGUUUUCCACGAUUUGUUUGCAUGAUUCAUCUUAUUUAUUAUAAGUUGACUCUCAAUUUAUUUUUAUUUUUUCAAUUUGUGGUACUUUUGAAAAAUAUCUACACAUCUAAUUUGUUAUAUAUAAGAUAUUCACGGAUGCAAUACAAUCUCAUCACUGUUUUUUACUUUAAAGUUUUCACUUUUUGUUGCAUCAUCAAAAAUGGCUAAAACCACAAUUCUUGCUAUUUUUAUGGUUGUUCUUGUUUUAGGGAUGGUGAUGGAGUCGCAAGAACAAGAAUCUUGUCGUGAUUAUAUAAGAGGAACAGAAAUUUGCCAAGCUAAACAAUGUGAUGAUCAGUGUACAUUCAAGUAUAAUGGAUAUGGCAAGUGCUUAGCAGGCACAGUGUGCCUCUGCACAUUUAUUUGUAAAACUUAAUUUUCAUUUGUUAUUAAUAAACUAUUAUCAAAUAAAUUAAAUAAAAACAUGAUAAAAAA